rnacentral:misc_RNA from 1 species
GAUGAAGAACGUAGCGAAAUGCGAUACUUGGUGUGAAUUGCAGAAUCCCGUGAACCAUCGAGUCUUUGAACGCAAGUUGCGCCUCAAGCCAUUAGGUUGAGGGCACGUCUGCCUGGGCGUCACAUAUCGUUGCCUGAUGCCAGUUUCCUCGUGAUGGGUGACUGUGCAGGGCGAAUGAUGGCUUCCCGUGAGCAUUGUUGCCUCAUGGUUGGUUGAAAAUUGAGUCCUUGGUAGGGAGCGCCGUGAUAGAUGGUGGUUGAGUGACGAACGAGACCCAAUCAUGUGAAACCCCUACCGAAUUUGGCCUUCAUGACCCACAUGCGUCUUUGGAACGCUCAUGACGAGACCUCAGGUCAGGCGGGGCUACCCGCUGAGUUUAAGCAUAUCAAUAAGCGGAGGA